rnacentral:rRNA from 1 species
UACAGAGGGCCCAAGCGUUGUUCGGAUUCAUUGGGCGUAAAGGGUGCGUAGGCGGCGCGGUAAGUCGGGUGUGAAAUCUCGGAGCUUAACUCCGAAACUGCAUUCGAUACUGCCGUGCUUGAGGACUGGAGAGGAGACUGGAAUUUACGGUGUAGCGGUGAAAUGCGUAGAUAUCGUAAGGAAGACCAGUGGCGAAGGCGAAUCUCUGGACAGUUACUGACACUGAGGCACGAAGGCCAGGGGAGCAAACGGG